GUUCUCCAAUGUCCGAAUUCCAAAUGUGACGACCUGCUCUACUGGCAAGACCUCUGAGAGAAAAUAGAAUAACAAGCCACAGUCCUGGUUGAAAGUGAAGAUCAAGCCAUCUGUAAACUCCGUUCUCCCGUUCAAGGAAGACCCCCAAGGAGAGGUUCUUCUUUGUUGAAAUAAUUUAAACAGGCUGGAUGAUAUGGACGGACAACGCCAGAAGGCCGGGGGCCAAGUAUGACGGAUUUGACGGGUUCCUUGGGAAACCUAGUCUGAUGAUCACAGAACCUGG